AGAUUGAACGCUGGCGGCAUGCUUUACACAUGCAAGUCGAACGGUAACAGGCCGCAAGGUGCUGACGAGUGGCGAACGGGUGAGUAAUGCAUCGGAACGUGCCCAGUCGUGGGGGAUAACGCAGCGAAAGCUGUGCUAAUACCGCAUACGAUCUAUGGAUGAAAGCGGGGGACCGAAAGGCCUCGCGCGAUUGGAGCGGCCGAUGUCAGAUUAGCUAGUUGGUGGGGUAAAGGCCCACCAAGGCGACGAUCUGUAGCUGGUCUGAGAGGACGACCAGCCACACUGGAACUGAGACACGGUCCAGACGUCCUACGGGAGCAGCAGGUGGGGAAUUUUGGACAAGUGGGCGCAAGCCUGACUCCAGCAAUGCCGCGUGCAGGAAGAAGGCCGUUCGGUUGUAAACUGUACUUUUGUACGGUAACGAACGUACGUAGGUUAA
rnacentral:rRNA from 1 species